GCCCCCAUCGUCUAGCGGCCUAGGACGUCGCCCUUUCACGGCGGUAGCACGGGUUCGAAUCCCGUUGGGGGUGCGA
rnacentral:tRNA from 1 species